AGGUUCUUUUUUGGGGACAUUGUCCCGUCGAGUUUGGACCCAUGGCUUAUAUAGUCUUUAGACCGAGACUGAAACCGUUCCUUUACCCACGGCUUAUUUCUUUGACAAAUAUAUUUGGAAUUGGUUUCAGUUUACUGGUCAAAGAUCUAGUUACCCACGGCUUAAAGCAUCAUCAGUCUUUAGACAGAGACUGAGAUUCG
rnacentral:lncRNA from 1 species